rnacentral:rRNA from 1 species
CAAAAACAUCGCCUCUUGCAAACUUAACAAAUAAGAGGUCCCGCCUGCCCUGUGACUAUUAGUUUAACGGCCGCGGUAUUUUGACCGUGCGAAGGUAGCGCAAUCACUUGUCUUUUAAAUGGAGACCUGUAUGAAUGGCAUAACGAGGGCUUAACUGUCUCCUCUUUCCAGUCAAUGAAAUUGAUCUUUCCGUGCAGAAGCGGGAAUGAAAACAUAAGACGAGAAGACCCUAUGGAGCUUUAGACACCAAGGUAGAUCAUGUUAAUAACCCUGAACAAAGGACUAAACCAGAUGGAACCUACCCUAAUGUCUUUGGUUGGGGCGACCGCGGGGAAUUAGAAAACCCCCACGUGGAAUGGGAGUACCCCUCCUACAGCUGAGAGCAACAGCUCUAAUAAACAGAAAUUCUGACCAGUAAGAUCCGGCAAUGCCGAUCAACGGACCGAGUUACCCUAGGGAUAACAGCGCAAUCCUCUUUUAGAGCCCAUAUCGACAAGGGGGUUUACGACCUCGAUGUUGGAUCAGGACAUCCUAAUGGUGCAGCCGCUAUUAAGGGUUCGUUUGUUCAACGAUUAAAGUCCUACGUGAUCUGA